GAUGAACGCUAGCGGCAGGCCUAACACAUGCAAGUCGAGGGGUAGAGUUCUUCGGGACUUGAGACCGGCGCACGGGUGCGUAACGCGUAUGCAAUCUACCUUAUACAGGGGAAUAGCCCAGAGAAAUUUGGAUUAAUGCCCCAUAGUAUUAUUGAAUGGCAUCAUUUGAUAAUUAAAGUUCCAACGGUAUAAGAUGAGCAUGCGUCCCAUUAGUUAGUUGGUAAGGUAACGGCUUACCAAGACAAUGAUGGGUAGGGGUCCUGAGAGGGAGAUCCCCCACACUGGUACUGAGACACGGACCAGACUCUACGGGAGGCAGCAGUGAGGAAUAUUGGUC
rnacentral:rRNA from 1 species